AUGCCAAGAAAUACAUUAGCAGGGACGCUGGAGGACAUCCGGGAGCCGCCUGCCCACCUUCCUGUCAUCCGCUCCUCCCUCCCUCCCUCCUUUCCCUCUCUUUCUGCCUCCUCCUCUUCCUCCCUCCCUCCUUUUCCCCUCUCUUCCUCCCUCCCUCUCUUCUUCCCUCCCUUCCUCCCCCCUCUCCCUCCCUCCCUUUUACCCUCCCUUCCUCCCUCCUUCCUUCCCUCUCUCUCUUCUUCCCUCCCUCCUUUCCCUCCCUCUUUUCCUCCCCUUCCUCCCUUCCUCCCUUCCUCCCUCUUUUCUUUCCCUCUUCCUACUUUCCUUCCCUCACCCCUUCUCCCCUUCCCUCCCUUCUACUUCUUUCCCCUUCCCUUUUCUUCUUUCUACCUUCCCUCUCUCUCUUCCUCCUUUUCUUCCUCCCUCCCUUCCUUCUUUCCUUCCCUCUUUCCUCCCUCCUUCCUUUCUCCCUCCCCCUGUCCUCUCCCUCCCUUUCUCUCUCCCUUUCUUCCUUCCACCCACCCUCCCUCUCUCCCCUCCUUUCUUCCAUCUACCUUCCCCCCUCCCUUUUUUCCUUCCUUCCUUUCUUCUUCCUCCCUCCCUCCUUUCCUCCCUCUCUUCCCUCCUUCCUUCUCCCUUCCUCUCUUCUUCCAUCCUUCCUUUCUUUUCUUCCACCCACUCUCCCUCCCUCCUUUCCUCUCUUUUUCCCUUUCUCCCUCCCUUCCUGCCUUCCACCUUCCUUCCUUUCUUCCUCCCUUCAUCCCUUCCUUCUGUCUCUCCCUUUCUUCUUUCCUCCAUCCCUUUUCCUCCCUCUCCUACCUUCCUUCCUCCCUCCCUCUUCUUCCUUCCUUAUUUCCUUUCUCCCUCCCUCUCUCCUUUCCUCCUCCCACCCCUUUUUUCUUCCUUCCCUCUCUUUUUUCCUUCUACCCACCCUCCUUUCUUUCAUUUACCUACCCUUCUUUCCUUCUUUCCUCCCUUCCUCUCUCCUUCCCUUUCUUCUUUCCUCCCUUGCUUCACCCACCCUCCCUCCCUCCUUUUCUUUUGUCUACUUUUUCUCUUUUCCCUUCUUCUUCCCUUCCUUCCACCUUCCCUCGCUCCCUUCCACCCACCCUUCCUUUCUUCCUCCCAUCUUCCCUCCUUCCCCCCUCCCUUCCUUCUUUCCCUUCCUUCCACCUUCCCUCUCUCUUCCUUCCACCUAUCCUCUCUUUCUUCCUUUCUUCCUUCCACCUUCCCUCUCUCCCUCCUUCUCCCUCCCUUCCUUCCCCCUCCCUUCCUUCCCCCUCCCUCCCCUGCCCUUCCCCUCCCCCCCUUCCCUUCCUUCCUUCCUUCCGUUUCUCUUUUUCUUUUUUUUCUUUCAACAAGGUCUUGCUCUGUCACCCAGAAUGA
rnacentral:lncRNA from 1 species